rnacentral:rRNA from 1 species
GGGCCCGCACAAGCGGUGGAGCAUGUGGUUUAAUUCGAUGAUACGCGAGGAACCUUACCUGGGCUCUAAUGCGAGUGACCGCUCCUGAAAGGGAGCUUUCCUUCGGGACACGAAGCAAGGUGCUGCAUGGUUGUCGUCAGCUCGUGCCGUGAGGUGUUGGGUUAAGUCCUAUAACGAGCGCAACCCCUACCGUUAGUUGCCCGCGUGUAAUGACGGGGACUCUAACGGAACUGCCGGUGCAAACCGUGAGGAAGGUGGGGAUGACGUCAAAUCAUCACGGCCCUUACGUCCUGGGCUACACACGUGCUACAAUGGUCGGUACAGAGAGCAGCCACUACGCGAGUAGGAGCGAAUCUUCAAAAACCGAUCUCAGUUCGGAUCGCAGUCUGCAACUCGACUGCGUG